rnacentral:tRNA from 1 species
ACGUUGAUAUAUACACGUUUGGAUAGAGUCGCUGACUUCGAAUCAGUUGGUCGGGGGUUCGAGUCCCUCAGGGCGCGCCA